GUACUGUAAAUAUGGCAGAUUAAAGAGGUUUUUGCAUGGUGAUGGUGAUGAUGAUUAUGAUUAAAAUGAAGUUGAGCAACACACUGCUACAGUACAGUGAAUAAAGUGUGAAAUUAAUGAAUUAAAGUUCUGAUUAUUUCAGUAUGGAGGGAAGGAGGUGCUGCAGCAUGCGAUUCCCGCCGUGCUGAAAUCCGGGCAGAACACCAAGGAGGUUCUGCUGGAUGUAAAGGAGACCCACCUGACCUGCACUGAUAGGUCCAGUAAGCAGCAGCUGUUCCAGCAUCACUUUCCUGAGAUAUCGUGUGUGGGGAGGUUCGGGCAGCCGGACUUCACCGUCUUCGCGUUUUGUGUUGUGUAUGUAUUCAUAUUAAAUAUAUAAGAAAUAUAUAAUUAUAAUAUUACACUGUUAAAGAAAGUGGUUAAAAUGAUUAUUUGUUCUGUAUGGGAGGACUGUAAAUAAAUAAAAGUAUAGGAACUACA
rnacentral:lncRNA from 1 species